GAUGAACGCUGGCGGCGUGCCUAACACUUGCAAGUCGAGCGAACGGACGAGAAGCUUGCUUCUCUGAUGUUAGCGGCGGACGGGUGAGUAACACGUGGAUAACCUACCUAUAAGACUGGGAUAACUUCGGGAAACCGGAGCUAAUACCGGAUAAUAUUUUGAACCGCAUGGUUCAAAAGUGAAAGACGGUCUUGCUGUCACUUAUAGAUGGAUCCGCGCUGCAUUAGCUAGUUGGUAAGGUAACGGCUUACCAAGGCAACGAUGCAUAGCCGACCUGAGAGGGUGAUCGGCCACACUGGAACUGAGACACGGUCCAGACUCCUACGGGAGGCAGCAGUAGGGAAUCUUCCGCAAUGGGCGAAAGCCUGACGGAGCAACGCCGCGUGAGUGAUGAAGGUCUUCGGAUCGUAAAACUCUGUUAUUAGGGAAGAACAUAUGUGUAAGUAACUGUGCACAUCUUGACGGUACCUAAUCAGAAAGCCACGGCUAACUACGUGCCAGCAGCCGCGGUAAUACGUAGGUGGCAAGCGUUAUCCGGAAUUAUUGGGCGUAAAGCGCGCGUAGGCGGUUUUUUAAGUCUGAUGUGAAAGCCCACGGCUCAACCGUGGAGGGUCAUUGGAAACUGGAAAACUUGAGUGCAGAAGAGGAAAGUGGAAUUCCAUGUGUAGCGGUGAUAUGCGCAGAGAUAUGGAGGAACACCAGUGGCGAAGGCGACUUUCUGGUCUGUAACUGACGCUGAUGUGCGAAAGCGUGGGGAUCAAACAGGAUUAGAUACCCUGGUAGUCCACGCCGUAAACGAUGAGUGCUAAGUGU
rnacentral:rRNA from 1 species